rnacentral:rRNA from 1 species
CCUACGGGAGGCAGCAGUAAGGAAUAUUGGUCAAUGGACGGAAGUCUGAACCAGCCAUGCCGCGUGCAGGAUGACGGCCCUCUGGGUUGUAAACUGCUUUUAUAGGGGACGAAAAAAGGGGAUUCUUCCUCACUUGACGGUACCCUAGGAAUAAGCACCGGCUAACUCCGUGCCAGCAGCCGCGGUAAUACGGAGGGUGCAAGCGUUAUCCGGAUUUACUGGGUUUAAAGGGUGCGUAGGUGGGUCGGUAAGUCAGCGGUGAAAUCUUCGAGCUUAACUCGGAAACUGCCAUUGAUACUAUCGAUCUUGAAUCGUCUAGAGGUAAGCGGAAUAUGUCAUGUAGCGGUGAAAUGCUUAGAUAUGACAUAGAACACCAAUUGCGAAGGCAGCUUACUAUGGAUGUAUUGACACUGAGGCACGAAAGCGUGGGGAUCAAACAGGAUUAGAUACCCUGGUAGUCC